rnacentral:miRNA from 1 species
GGGGGUUGUUGUGGAGAUAGUUU